rnacentral:rRNA from 1 species
GACACUUCCUAGGUCAGCCUUUAUCUGUGAACUGCGAAAGGCUCAUUAAAUCAGUUAUCGUUUAUUUGAUAGUACCUUACUACAUGGAUACCUGUGGUAAUUCUAGAGCUAAUACAUGCUGAAAACCUCGACUUCGGAAGGGGUGUAUUUAUUAAAUAAAAAACCAAUGCCCUUCGGGGCUCCUUGGUGAAUCAAAAUAACUUAACGAAGCGGAUGGCCUUGCGCCGGCGAUGGUUCAUUCUAAUUUCUGCCCGAGUGACUUUGGAUGGUAGGAAAGUGGCCAACAAAGGAGGCAACGGGCCAUGGGGAAUUAUGGUUUUGUUCCAGAAAGAAAGCCUCGAAAGAAGAUUGCGUUGUUUUUGAGGGGGCAGCGGGCUACUAAAAUUUCCUUAUCGCGAGAGUGGGGGGAGUACUAUAAAAAAAACCUGUGGUGAGGGUUUUUGUUGGGUAGCCGGAAUUAUGAGAGAAGAUUUUUUCAUAAGGAAUUUAAUACAAUAUAUCCCUUUUUAUGUGGCAANNNGGGGGGGCGGCGGGAAUUCAUUUUUUUUUUUUUUGUGAAGAGAUAAGUGUGGGCCGCGGGACGCAGGAAGUUUUUUUGUGUUAGAAAUGCAAGGGUGGGCGUUAAUGUGGAUUUAGUUUGAUGUAAGAUUAGAUGAAUGUGACGGCGGAAAGGUAUAUGUAAGGCUGACAGUGAUGUCUUAGGGCUUGUUCUUUAAGGUACGAAAGUGGGGAGCGAUGUAUUCUAUA